AUUGAACGCUGGCGGCAGGCCUAACACAUGCAAGUCGAGCGGAAACGAAGGGAGCUUGCUCCCAGGCGUCGAGCGGCGGACGGGUGAGUAACACGUGAGAAUCUGCCCAUUAGUGGGGGACAACUCGGGGAAACUCGAGCUAAUACCGCAUAAUCCCUACGGGGGAAAGCAGGGGACCUUUUGGCCUUGCGCUGAUGGAUGAGCGCACGUCGGAUUAGCUUGUUGGUGAGGUAAAGGCCAACCAAGGCGACGAUCCGUAGCUGGUCUGAGCGGAUGAUCAGCCACACUGGGACUGAGACACGGCCCAGACUCCUACGGGAGGCAGCAGUGGGGAAUCUUGCGCAAUGGGCGAAAGCCUGAUGCAGCGACGCCGCGUGAGGGAAGAAGGCCUUCGGGUUGUAAACCUCUUUCAGGUGGGACGAAGCCACUCGGGUUAAUAGCCCAGAGGGUGACGGUACCUCCAGAAGAAGCCCCGGCUAACUUCGUGCCAGCCGCCGCCGUAA
rnacentral:rRNA from 1 species